GGUUUGUUCUCCCUGUGGUUUCCUUAGCGUUAGGGAGAAUGCUACAGAAAAACGAACCCUUUCUAGUUUUGACUCACUCAGGAGUGGUGUGUCUUUCGUCUUUCUGAGAUGGGAUAUAAUAGGCAUGCCCCGAAGGUGGCAAAUCAGACUUCCACACGCGUUGCCUUCACUUAGCCAAUAGCUUGCUCAGAACGCAUAUAUUACGAAGUGCAGUUUCAUUCAUCAAGGGGAUUUCGGGCUCCACCGGCAAUCAGCGCUGAGUCUUGGGUGACCGCUGGGCUUUGGGUUUUGCACUGACUCCUCCGUAGAAACAAGGAGGUGCAUCUGGCUGAUGGAAGAGUUAAUGGUAAUCCAGGAUGAAGAAUUAAAGCCUUUUCUUUUGCGCUCCUCUCGGGAGAUGCAUGCCCUGAGGAUACAAGAUGUGCUCAGAUUCACUACUAGAAUUACUUCUGUCUCUAGAAAAGAUUUUACAAGGAAAGGUAUUCCCAAAGCUCGCAUCCUCCUCUCCUCCCACUUUGCUCACUUAGCUCAAGUGGAACACAACAGCCUCUCACUGGAAAUACCACCUUCCCUCGCCUGUGUUUGGACUUGCACGGUUGCGCUCAGCUCCUGGCCCCUGUUUUUGCUUUCUCCAGCAGUUUCCUGGCCAGAGCAGGAACAGGAGCCGAGUUUGGGAGAUGUGACUGUGACAGGCCUUUUUCCCCCACCCGUGCUUCCCCGCAUGGCUUCGGAAGGAGGGGAGUGUCUGACCCUCUGUGGUCCUGCGUGCCCGGUGAGCAGGCUUGACUAUACCAGAAAGCAAAAUCCAGCUCAGACCUAACAUGAAGGUUGUUAAUGCACUAUGAAUGAGGUAAUUCCAGUUGAAAUACAGUGUUUUGGUUACACAUGCAACGUGGGUUUGACUACAGAAUAAAGAGUGAGCUUUCUACACAUUCUUACCAGCUGGCUAUCGUAGUCUCUGUGAAGCGUUUUUCUUUGUUGUACGUACGUGGUUAAGGCCUAAGGAAAAUUGAUAGUGUUACAGCUGGCUUACCUGAUCUUGCUGUAUUGAAGAUGAGGCUGCUCGUGAGGUCUGCUGAGUGCUGUGGAGUUUUUGUUAAUGUUCUCAGUGUUGUGUGGUUAAAGCCACAGAUGCACGGAGUGCUGGCAUGUGGCUCUGAUGCUUUGGCGAAUGGGAGAAACGCAUUUCACAGGGUAACUUUCUACUGUGUGGUGGUUGCUCCCUGCCAUCCCUCACUUCUCAUUUUCUGUAGCUGGCCGCCCCUCCUGUGUCACAGAGAAAACAGAAGCCAAAAUGUGAACUCACUUAGGUUCUUGCCCCAAAUCAACACACUUCAUCUGCACCUGUCUUGUUUUCCUUGCCUCCUGUUUCAGUGGAAGAGGAGUCCUUCCUUGUGUUCACAGCUCUGG
rnacentral:lncRNA from 1 species